rnacentral:rRNA from 1 species
UACGGGGGGAGCAAGCGUUGUUCGGAAUUACUGGGCGUAAAGGGCGCGUAGGCGGCCUUCUAAGUCGGACGUGAAAUCCCUCGGCUUAACCGAGGAACUGCGUCCGAUACUGAAAGGCUUGAAUCCGGGAGAGGGAUGUGGAAUUCCAGGUGUAGCGGUGAAAUGCGUAGAUAUCUGGAGGAACACCGGUGGCGAAGGCGGCAUCCUGGACCGGUAUUGACGCUGAGGCGCGAAAGCUAGGGGAGCAAACGGG